UACGUAGGGGCAAGCGUUGUCCGGAAUUAUUGGGCGUAAAGCGCGCGCAGGCGGUCCUUUAAGUCUGAUGUGAAAGCCCACGGCUUAACCGUGGAGGGUCAUUGGAAACUGGUCGACUUGAGUGCAGAAGAGGGAAGUGGAAUUCCAUGUGUAGCGGUGAAAUGCGUAGAGAUAUGGAGGAACACCAGUGGCGAAGGCGGCUUCCUGGUCUGUAACUGACACUGAGGCGCGAAAGCGUGGGGAGCAAACAGGAUUAGAUAUCCCU
rnacentral:rRNA from 1 species